CUGCGGAAGGAUCAUUACCGAGUGCGGGCCCCUCGGGGCCCAACCUCCCACCCGUGUUGCCCGAACCUAUGUUGCCUCGGCGGGCCCCGCGCCCGCCGACGGCCCCCCUGAACGCUGUCUGAAGUUGCAGUCUGAGACCUAUAACGAAAUUAGUUAAAACUUUCAACAACGGAUCUCUUGGUUCCGGCAUCGAUGAAGAACGCAGCGAAAUGCGAUAACUAAUGUGAAUUGCAGAAUUCAGUGAAUCAUCGAGUCUUUGAACGCACAUUGCGCCCUCUGGUAUUCCGGAGGGCAUGCCUGUCCGAGCGUCAUUGCUGCCCUCAAGCCCGGCUUGUGUGUUGGGCCCCGUCCCCCCCGCCGGGGGGACGGGCCCGAAAGGCAGCGGCGGCACCGCGUCCGGUCCUCGAGCGUAUGGGGCUUCGUCACCCGCUCUAGUAGGCCCGGCCGGCGCCAGCCGACCCCCAACCUUUAAUUAUCUCAGGUUGACCUCGGAUCAGGUAGGGAUACCCGCUGAACUUAAGCAUAUCAAUAAGCGGAGGAAAAGAAACCAACCGGGAUUGCCCUAGUAACGGCGAGUGAAGCGGCAAGAGCUCAAAUUUGAAAGCUGGCCCCCUCGGGGUCCGCAUUGUAAUUUGCAGAGGAUGCUUCGGGAACGGCCCCCAUCUAAGUGCCCUGGAACGGGCCGUCAUAGAGGGUGAGAAUCCCGUCUGGGAUGGGGUGGCCGCGCCCGUGUGAAGCUCCUUC
rnacentral:rRNA from 1 species